rnacentral:rRNA from 1 species
UACGAGAGGCCCAAACGUUAUUCGGAAUUACUGGGCGUAAAGGGCUCGUAGGCGGCCAACUAAGUCGGAUGUGAAAUCCCCAGGCUCAACUUGGGAACUGCAUCCGAUACUGGAUGGCUUGAAUUCGGGAGAGGGAUGCAGAAUUCCAGGUGUAGCGGUGAAAUGCGUAGAUAUCUGGAGGAAUACCGGUGGCGAAGGCGGCAUCCUGGACCGACAUUGACGCUGAGGAGCGAAAGCUAGGGGAGCAAACGGGG